rnacentral:rRNA from 1 species
GACGAACGCUGGCGGCGUGCCUAAUACAUGCAAGUAGGACGCACAGCCUAUACCGUAGCUUGCUACACCAUAGGCUGUGAGUUGCGAACGGGUGAGUAACGCGUAGGUAACCUGCCUAUUAGAGGGGGAUAACUAUUGGAAACGAUAGCUAAUACCGCAUAACAGUAUGUAACACAUGUUAGAUGCUUGAAAGAUGCAAUUGCAUCGCUAGUAGAUGGACCCGCGUUGUAUUAGCUAGUAGGUAGGGUAAUGGCCUACCUAGGCAACGAUACAUAGCCGACCUGAGAGGGUGAUCGGCCACACUGGGACUGAGACACGGCCCAGACUCCUACGGGAGGCAGCAGUAGGGAAUCUUCGGCAAUGGGGGGAACCCUGACCGAGCAACGCCGCAUGAGUGAAGAAGGUUUUCGGAUCGUAAAGCUCUGUUGUUAGGGAAGAACGAGUGUGAGAAAUGGAAAAGUUCAUAACUGUGACGGUACUA